AGGGGAAUUUUGGACAAUGGGGGCAACCCUGAUCCAGCCAUGCCGCGUGAGUGAAGAAGGCCUUCGGGUUGUAAAGCUCUUUCGGCCGGGAAGAAAUCGUGCGGGCUAAUACCCUGUAUGGAUGACGGUACCGGAAUAAGAAGCACCGGCUAACUACGUGCCAGCAGCCGCGGUAAUACGUAGGGUGCGAGCGUUAAUCGGAAUUACUGGGCGUAAAGCGUGCGCAGGCGGUUUUGUAAGACAGGCGUGAAAUCCCCGGGCUCAACCUGGGAACUGCGCUUGUGACUGCAAGACUAGAGUACGGCAGAGGGGGGUGGAAUUCCACGUGUAGCAGUGAAAUGCGUAGAGAUGUGGAGGAGCACCAAUGGCGAAGGCAGCCCCCUGGGUCGAUACUGACGCUCAUGCACGAAAGCGUGGGGAGCAAACAG
rnacentral:rRNA from 1 species